UACGUAAGGGGGCUAGCGUUGCUCGGAAUUACUGGGCGUAAAGCGCACGUAGGCGGCUUUCUAAGUCGGGGGUGAAAUCCUGGAGCUCAACUCCAGAACUGCCUUCGAUACUGGAGAGCUCGAGUCCGGGAGAGGUGAGUGGAACUGCGAGUGUAGAGGUGAAAUUCGUAGAUAUUCGCAAGAACACCAGUGGCGAAGGCGGCUCACUGGCCCGGUACUGACGCUGAGGUGCGAAAGCGUGGGGAGCAAACAGG
rnacentral:rRNA from 1 species